rnacentral:rRNA from 1 species
GACGAACGCUGGCGGCGUGCUUAACACAUGCAAGUCGAACGGCAAGGCCCUGCUUUUGUGGGGUGCUCGAGUGGCGAACGGGUGAGUAACACGUGAGUAACCUGCCCUUGACUUUGGGAUAACGUCAGGAAACUGGGGCUAAUACAGGAUAGGAGCUCCUGCUGCAUGGUGGGGGAUGGAAAGUUUCGGCGGGUGGGGAUGGACUGGGGGCUUAUCAGCUUGUUGGUGGGGUAGUGGCUUACCAAGGCUUUGACGGAUAGCCGGCAUGGGGGGGUGACCGGCGCCAAGGGGCCUGCGAGACGCAGCAGACGCGUAUGGGAGGCAGCGGGGGGGAAUAUUGCACAAUGGGGGGACGCCUGAGGCGGAGGCGUCGGGGGCGGGAUGACGGCUUGUGGGUUAAGAAACGCUUUCGGCUGUGACGCAGCGUGAGUGACGGUAAUGGGUAAAGAAGCACCGGCUAACUACGUG